rnacentral:rRNA from 1 species
CCCUUAGAUGUUCUGGGCCGCACGCGCGCUACACUGUUCGACGCAGCGAGUCUUAACCUUGACCGAAAGGUUUGGGUAAUCUUCAGCAAAGUCGAACGUGAUGGGGAUCGAUCAUUGCAAUUAUUGAUCGUGAACGAGGAAUUCCUAGUAAGUGCAAGUCAUCAGCUUGCGCUGAUUACGUCCCUGCCCUUUGUACACACCGCCCGUCGCUACUACCGAUUGAAUGGUUUAGUGAGAUCUCUGGAUUGACGCUGGCUAGGGGGCGACCCUUGGCCAAGCUGUCGAGAAACUGCUCAAACUUGAUCAUUUAGAGGAAGUAAAAGUCGUAACA